rnacentral:rRNA from 1 species
ACCAGACUCCUACGGGAGGCAGCAGUGGGGGAUAUUGCACAAUGGGGGAAACCCUGAUGCAGCGACGCCGCGUGAGUGAAGAAGUAAUUCGUUAUGUAAAGCUCUAUCAGCAGGGAAGAAAAUGACGGUACCUGAGUAAGAAGCCCCGGCUAACUACGUGCCAGCAGCCGCGGUAAUACGUAGGGGGCAAGCGUUAUCCGGAUUUACUGGGUGUAAAGGGAGCGUAGACGGCAUGGCAAGUCAGAUGUGAAAGCCCGGGGCUCAACCCCGGGACUGCAUUUGAAACUGUCAGGCUGGAGUGCAGGAGAGGUAAGGGGAAUUCCUAGCGUAGCGGUGAAAUGCGUGGAUAUUAGGAGGAACACCAGUGGCGAAGGCGGCUUACUGGGCUGUAACUGACGUUGAGGCUCGAAAGCGUGGGGAGCAAACAGGAUUAGAUACCCUUGUAU